UAUACACUGAAGCUCGGCGCAGCCAAAGCAAAGGCUUUGCUGGGACAGACUGCAUUCUAAGGUCCUGUUGCCAUUGGAAACUGAGGAACUGGGCCCUGUGUAACAGCCGCACAAACACUUCAUGGGCGCGUUCUUCAAAGAAGCCAUGUGCAAGGUGGCAGUGCCUGGGAUUGCCUCACCAUUCAUCGGGGGCCAGUGACGCAGCCCAGCUACAUUUGAGUGCAGAGGGCAGAGACACAGAGCUGGCUGGGACUGCCAGGAAAGCCAUCUAGCAGCUGUACGGAGAUGAAAAAAGAAGACUGCAGCUGCUGGAAAUCUGAACUGAAGAAGAAACGGUGGACUCGCUCAGCAUCCAGGCAGAGUAACUAUUUCAGGUCAAAGCAUCUUUCCCACCUUCCUGCUGAUGAAGGGGUUUGAACUUGAAAUGUCCUUUGUUUCUUCAAGCAUUUCCAGCAUUUUGGAUUUCCAUCUCACUUAUCUCCAGCUCUGCGGGUGACAUGAAACAAAUGUGAAAUUAUGAACACAAGGGAUUCUGCAGGUGUCGGAAAUCUUGAGCAACGCACACAAAAUGCUGGAGAAAGUCAGCAAGUCAGGCAGCGUCUAUGGAGAGGGAUAAACAGUCGACAUUUCUGGCCAAGAUCGGAAAGAAAGGGGACAGAAGCCAGAAGAAGCUGGGAGGGGAAAGAGUUAAAGCUUGCAGGUGAUAGGUGA